rnacentral:rRNA from 1 species
UGAGGUAGGCGGUGAUCUUAGGCAAAUCCGGGAUCACUUACGCCGAGCACCGAGACGAGUCCUAUGAGGACGAAGUGACUGACACCACGCUUCCAGGAAAAGCCACUAAGCUUCAGCUUAAGAAAAACCGUACCGCAAACCGACACAGGUAGGCAGGGUGAGAAUCCCAAGGCGCUUGAGAGAACUCGGGUGAAGGAACUAGGCAAAAUGGCACCGUAACUUCGGGAGAAGGUGCGCCCUUUGGUGUGGUCACGUGCGUGACUGAGCAUCGAAGGGUCGCAGUAACCUGGCCGCUGCGACUGUUUAUCAAAAACACAGCACUCUGCAAACACGAAAGUGGACGUAUAGGGUGUGACGCCUGCCCGGUGCUGGAAGGUUAAUUGAUGGGGUCAGCCGCAAGGCGAAGCUCUUGAUCGAAGCCCCAGUAAACGGCGGCCGUAACAAUAACGGUCCUAAGGUAGCGAAAUUCCUUGUCGGGUAAGUUCCGACCUGCACGAAUGGCGUAACGACAGCGGCGCUGUCUCCACCCGAGACUCAGUGAAAUUGAAAUCGCUGUGAAGAUGCAGCGUUCCCGCGGCAAGACGGAAAGACCCCGUGAACCUUUACUAUAGCUUUACACUGAACGUUGAGUUCUUCUGCGUAGGAUAGGUGGGAGGCUAUGAAACCAGGACGCUAGUUCUGGUGGAGCCAUCCUUGAAAUACCACCCUGAAGUGCUUGACGUUCUAACCUAGGCCCGUAAUCCGGGUCAGGGACCGUGUAUGGUGGGUAGUUUGACUGGGGCGGUCUCCUCCCAAAGAGUAACGGAGGAGCACGAAGGUACGCUCAGCGCGGUCGGACAUCGCGCACUGUGUGCAAAGGCAUAAGCGUGCUUGACUGCGAGAUCGACGGAUCAAGCAGGUACGAAAGUAGGUCUUAGUGAUCCGGUGGUUCUGUAUGGAAGGGCCAUCGCUCAACGGAUAAAAGGUACUCCGGGGAUAACAGGCUGAUACCGCCCAAGAGUUCAUAUCGACGGCGGUGUUUGGCACCUCGAUGUCGGCUCAUCACAUCCUGGGGCUGUAGCCGGUCCCAAGGGUAUGGCUGUUCGCCAUUUAAAGUGGUACGCGAGCUGGGUUCAGAACGUCGUGAGACAGUUCGGUCCCUAUCUGUCGUGGGCGUUGGAGAUUUGAGGGGGGCUGCUCCUAGUACGAGAGGACCGGAGUGGACGUUCCGCUGGUGUUCGGGUUGUCAUGCCCAUGGCAUUGCCCGGUAGCUACGAACGGAAGUGAUAACCGCUGAAAGCAUCUAAGCGGGAAGCACGCCCCAAGAUGAGAUCUCCCGAGAGCUUGACUCUCCUAAAGGCACCAUCAAGACUAGGUGGUUGAUAGGUCAGGUGUGGAAGCGCAGCAAUGCGUUGAGCUAACUGAUACUAAUGAGCCGUGAGGCUUGACCAA